rnacentral:lncRNA from 1 species
ACACGUCAUACAUUUUAACUGGGAGAUUAAUGAACACAUUGUAAAACUGUAUCUUUUCAGUGGACGCGUGUAAAAACAAAUGGAAGAGCUUGAGGGACACGUACGCCAAGAAGAAGAAGGACGAGGAGAAGAGGAAAAAGGAGAGCGCGGAAAACCCCGACCACAGGCCACAGUGGAGGUUCUUCGCUGUGCUGUCGUUCCUCGACCGGUUUGUAAUAACGCGCUCCAACACCUCGGGACAGGAGAGCGACGAGGAGCAAGAGAUGGAAGACGGCCAGGAGCCUGGGAGGAAGCUGGAAACAUCCCACACUUCACCGACUGAAGAUGAACCGAGCGUCCAACAGGAG